UGGGCUCAGUUAAGGGAAGUUCCUAUGCUUCUUCUCUCUUGGGAAUAUGCCAAACAGAGUUUCACAUAAUUGGUUGUGUCUCUUUCCUCAUCAGGGAAAGCUUGUCAUUCAGGGACACUCACUAUAGUCCUUUCUUGUCUCUCCAGGAUUGGUCCAGCUGGUUGGAGGAGAUGGGCCCUGUAUUGGGAGGGUAGAAGUCAAUUCUGGAAGAAAACGGAGCACAGUCUGUGAUUGGAAUUUUAGUCUUUCUACUGCCAAAGUCAUCUGUGCUGAAUUAGAAUUUGGGACUGUAGUCUCUAUCAUGAAAAAAGCCCACUUUGGAAGAGGAAAUGGAUACAUCUGGGAUAAAGAAUUCCAAUGUAAUGGAAGUGAACCGCUUCUGUCAUUAUGCCCCACAGUACCACUUCCACAGGGAAAAUGCAGUCACAGCAUGGAUGUUGGAGUCAUUUGUUCAAGGUACACAGAUUUUCGUCUGAUGAAUGGAAGCUCCCAAUGUGAAGGAAGAGUAGAGAUCCAAGUUUUUGGGACCUGGAGAACUCUGUGACUCCCACUGGGACCUGGGAGAAGCCAAUGUUCUCUGCCAUCAGCUCAACUGUGGUGUUGCCAUGAAGCCUCCAGAAGAUGUAUAUUUUGGCAAAGGAAGUGUCCCGACCAUAAGGGAUACAUUUUACUGCACAGGAACCGAGUCUCAUUUAUGGAAUUGUUCAGUGACUAUCCUGGGGACUUCUCCAUGUUCCAAAGGAAAAGUUGCUUCUGUGGUCUGCUCAGGAAACCAGACACAGUCCCUCAUGUUCAAUAAUUCACAGUCUGACCAGGAAAAGGUACCUGUCUUAUUUUCAGGUAAGAAAGAAAGUCGGACAAAAUGAGGAAACCCUUCUCAUUCCUGGGGAAAAUGGGCAAUUAAUCUGCAUUUCUUCUUGUAGAAAUUGGACAGCUUCGUCUGUUGAAUGGAAGAGGUCCCUGCUCUGGAAGAGUUGAAGUCUAUUACAAUGGUACCUGGGGGACUGUCUGUGAUGAUUCUUGGGACUUGAGCGAUGCCCAUGUGGUGUGCAGGCAACUGGGCUGUGGAGUGGCCCUCAAAGCCAUGGUCUCUGCUCACUUUGGACAAGGAUCAGGGCCCAUCUGGCUAGAUGAGCUUAGCUGCUCUGGAAAUGAAUCCCACCUAGGAGAGUGCCCUUCCCUCCAUUGGGGGUCGGCAUGACUGCAGGCACAAAGAGGAUGCAGGAGUCCUCUGCUCAGGUCCGGGCCAUACACAUCCUACUAACAGUGAGGGACUUAUGUGAGCACUUAGGAGGUGGGGCUUAGAGACGUGAGGGAGGAGGAGCUGAUUCAGACAGGGAGGAGGACUUCCUGCCCCAACCACAGCCCUUCCUAGAGUGCAGUUUUAAGGCAAGACCUCUUAUCUGAAGGAUGAUUUUAUUUAUCUCCUACAUUUGUAUAGAUGGGUCUCUGCCCUUAUGAAGGGGUGUAUGUGGGUGUGUGUGUGUGUGUGUGUGUGUGUGUGCGUGUAUAUUUUCUUAUACUUCAUUUCCUAAUAGAGUGCUAUUCUCAGAAUAGGUAUACAUGUCUGCUGAUUUACUUUUCUAUUGGUGGUUCACAGAUACACACUAAUUUUGAAACUGUGAAACUGAGUAGUGAAAUCACAGUAAAGGCAUUCCUGUCUUUUUAAUGGGGGACACAAGAUAGAGAGAAUUGUACAGAAAUAUAGAGGAAGGAAUUCUG
ensembl:lncRNA